rnacentral:rRNA from 1 species
UACAGAGGAUGCAAGCGUUAUCCGGAAUGAUUGGGCGUAAAGGGUCUGUAGGUUCUCUCUCCAGUCUGCUGUUAAAGAUCAGGGCUUAACCCUGUAAAGGCAGUAGAAACUAAGAGGGUAGAGUACGGUAGGGGCAGAGGGAAUUCCCGGUGUAGCGGUGAAAUGCGCAGAUAUCGGGAGGAACACCAGUGGCGAAGGCGGCACUCUGGGCCGGAACUGACGCUGAGGAGCGAAAGCGUGGGUAGCAAACAGG